rnacentral:rRNA from 1 species
AGGAAUUGGCGGGGGAGCACUACAAGGGGUGGAGCGUGCGGUUUAAUUGGAUUCAACGCCGGGAACCUCACCGGGGGCGACGGCAGGAUGAAGGCCAGGCUGAAGGUCUUGCCGGACACGCCGAGAGGAGGUGCAUGGCCGCCGUCAGCUUGUACCGUGAGGCGUCCACUUAAGUGUGGUAACGAGCGAGACCCGCGCCCCCAGUUGCCAGCCCUCCCCGUUGGGAAGGGGGCACUCUGGGGGGACUGCCGGCGAUAAGCCGGAGGAAGGAGCGGGCGACGGUAGGUCAGUAUGCCCCGAAACCCCCGGGCUACACGCGCGCUACAAUGGGCGGGACAAUGGGAUCCGACCCCGAAAGGGGAAGGGAAUCCCCUAAACCCGCCCCCAGUUCGGAUCGCGGGCUGCAACUCGCCCGCGUGAAGCUGGAAUCCCUAGUACCCGCGUGUC